AAAUCGUCACCGCUCGGAGACGCACAAGGGCUUUGUCCUCCCAAAUCAGAAAUCGCCACCGCUCUCGCCGUCUCCGAGCUCUUUCUUGUCUGCCGCUGGGUUCCACCUCCCACGUCCGCUUUGACAAUUCUAGUGUUAACUCGACCAAAUCUUUCUGGAUUAAUGGCAUAAUUUGCCUUUUAUGGAUCAGAAAAUAUUCAAUUCGACGGGGAAGAACAUUUUGAUUAAAGAGGAGAGUGAAAAUGAGUUAAGAUCUUCAUUUCAAUCCAAAGAAAGGAUAAGUUCAGCAGCAAAAGAUGUUAAUUUAGGUUUUGGAGAGAGAGCAUUUUCUGCCGCCGGUGCUGCUGUUCUCUCCGCCGUCAUCGUUAACCCCCUCGACGUCGCCAAGGUCUCUAUGUACUAUAUUCUCUGUCAUUUGUUAUAUGCAAAUUGCAAUUGGAUUUAAUUUAGUGUUUAUACUGAUUUGAUUAGUUGUUUUUCAUUUCUGUACUGUUAUAUCAAGCUUGUAUUGGUUUUUGUAUAUUUUUAUGCACUUGGUAGUUCUGAGUCAUUUUUGUUAUUCCUCUGCUGCUGUUGAACUCUAGCCUCAAUUGUUUGAAUGGUGUUAGUUUUUUUGCUUGUUUUCAUUUUAUUUGCCAAAUGUCCCAAAAUGCUGAGACAAACGAGCUAAAAAUUUUAAGGUUGGAAUAUCCUAAAAAUGUUAAGCUAACUGAGCUAAAAUUUAUAUGUUUGGUUCUUUUAGAGUUAGAGCCUAAAGUAGUCUGCUAUUGAGAUUUUGUUGAGAUGUUCAGGAGCUCUGCAUAGUGAAAAUAUUACUGGUCUAUAAAGUUUGAGAUGGGGCUUGGUGGUAUUAAAUUUUAACAAAAUUGGUUUUGAUGGCAUAAAGUUUUACAGAAUAUUACAUUAAACUUUAAGAAAUAAGUUUUUUGGUGUUUUACCUAAUCACACUUCAAUCAAUGUUAUAAAAAGCGGGAGGCUGGAGGCGGCCUAGUGCCUAGGGGGCCUGGGCGGGAUUUUUUAUUUUAAGCUAAUUUUAAUAUUUUAUCUUACAUUUAUCCAAACAAAACAAUAAUAUAAAGCAAAACAACCUAUAAUAAAGAUAAUAAAGGCCUUUGUUUAAAAUUCAAACACAUAUCCAUAUUGUUAAUGUCAAAGUUCAAAUACAAACAUGCAAUUGUUCAAAGUUCAAACAUAGUUUUAACGUAUUAGUUUUAUUCAUAAAUAAGAUUGCUAUUAAAUAAUAAAAUUUAAAAUUUUAAGAAUUUAAUUCAAUAUUAAAACUUAAGAAACGAAACAUAAAUUUAAAUAUUAUAUUGAAUUAAACUAAAUAUUACAAAUGUAUCAUCAUUUAUAUAAUUUAAAGUUGGUACAAGUUCAAAAAAUUACAACUAUAAUAAAAUUAUCGAUUUUGACUUGAUAUUGUUCACUUCUUGUUGUGAUUUGAUAUGCUACAAUCUAUAUUAUGAAUAUGGUAAAUUAUUAGAAAAAUAAAUAUAUCAAGAUCUGGUUUGAGUAGUUAUUAAAAUAAAAUAAAAAAAGUCUUCAUCUAGACCCCGUCUAAUUUUUUAGAGUGAUUUUUUUGCCGCCUUGGCCCUAGGUGAGGUGUCAGGAGGGCCUAACACCUAGGCGAGGCCUAGCACCUAGGCGAGGCGCCAAAGUGGGACCUAGCACCUAGACGGGACGCCAAGGGGGGGCCUAGCGCCUAGGCGGACCUAAGCGAGGAUUUUUAGAACACUGACUUCAAUAAAGACAAAGGUCAUUUACUGACCGACCAGAGCCCUAUUGAUGAAUGAAUGAAUGAAAGGGUUUACGAGGCGUUUUUAAUGCUUUCGAAGGCAUGGCUUUAUCUUAUAAAUAGAGCAAGA
rnacentral:lncRNA from 1 species